AUGGCAUCUUUAUUUUGUGUUAAUAAUGUUAAAAUCAGAAGCUUCUAAUUUUGAAAGAUGAGAAUAUACUAACUUGGCCAUGUUUAUUAAUCUUCCCAAAGUCUUAAUACUUCAUAUGGUUUAAAGAUGAUUUGAGCACUGAUACCAUUGUUAUUAGCCCAAGUUUGCAGUGAGAAAAGGUUAUGGUUGGAAUCUGAAGCUAAUGAUUUUUGACAUUUUUACUGCAAUAACGAGAAAGAUUUAGUAUGUUCAUUAUAGAAGCUAUAUAUUCGACAUAGCAACAAUAAAUUAGCUCAAUGUGAAAUGAAACCUGUUUCAAUCCACUUUUACCAUUAAAUUUGUUUUAUGCAUUGUAGAGUGUAGUUUUUGAAUUUGAAUCAUGGACUUUCUAUUUAUCUUGUUCCGAUCUGCAGUCCAUGCAACGAGGCGAUCCAGCUUGGGUUGGUUAUAUAUAUGCCUUCUUAAUCUUUUCUGGAGUGUCAAUUGGGGUGUUGACCGAAUCUCAAUAUUUCCAGAAUGUUAUGCGCGUUGGUUUCCGGCUGAGAUCAACUUUGGUGGCUGCUAUAUUUAGAAAAUCAUUACGAUUGACUCACGAGAGUCGCAAGAGUUUCUCUACAGGAAAGAUAACAAAUAUGAUUACC